ACAUGUGGCAUGCGCAUUGAAA
rnacentral:snRNA from 1 species